GCCGCCUUAGCUCAAUUGGCAGAGCGCGUGAUUUGUAAUCUCGAGGUUGUCGGUUCAAGUCCGAUAGGCGGCU
rnacentral:tRNA from 1 species